rnacentral:rRNA from 1 species
CCUACGGGUGGCCGCAGUGAGGAAUAUUGGUCAAUGGGCGUGAGUCUGAACGAGCCAAGUCGCGUGAAGGAUGAAUGUUCUAUGGGUUGUAAACUUCUUUUAUAAAGGCAUAAAGUGCGGCACGUGUGCCUUUUUGCAUGUACUUUAUGAAUAAGGAUCGGCUAACUCCGUGACAGCAGCCGCGGUAAUACGGAGGAUCCGAGCGUUCUCCGGAUUUAUUGGGUUUAAAGGGAGCGUAGAUGGGUUGUUAAGUCAGUUGGGAAAGUUUGCGGCUCAACCGUAAAAUUGCCAUUGAUACUGGCAGGCUUGAGUACAGUUGAGGUAGGCGGAAUUCGUGGUGUAGCGGUGAAAUGCUUAGAUAUCACGAAGAACCCCGAUUGCGAAGGCAGCUUACUAAACUGUGACUGACAUUGAUGCACGAAAGUGUGGGUAGCAAACAGGAUUAGAUACCCUGGUAGUC